UACGUAGGGUGCAAGCGUUAAUCGGAAUACUGGGCGUAAAGCGUGCGCAGGCGGUGAUGUAAGACAGGUGUGAAAUCCCCCGGGCUUAACCUGGGAACUGCAUUUGUGACUGCAUCGCUGGAGUGCGGCAGAGGGGGGAUGGAAUUCCGCGUGUAGCAGUGAAAUGCGUAGAUAUGCGGAGGAACACCGAUGGCGAAGGCAGCCCCCCUGGGUCAAGAUUGACACUCAGGAGCGAAAGCGUGGGGGAGCGA
rnacentral:rRNA from 1 species